rnacentral:lncRNA from 1 species
AUGAGGACAAAAUUUUUGAAAACAGCAUCCAGUGUUUCAUUUUGCUGCUUAUUCCACUUUCUCCACCCUGGUGCUCUACAGAUCAGGAUAGUGACACUUCGAAUCACAGUGUUGCCAGGAGGCUCAAAAGACCCCAUGCACAAAGACUUCGCUGACAUGCAAUGGAAGCAGGACAGCAAGACUGCCUGGAAAUGUGUUGUUGAAGAGAAAACUGCUUCCUGGAAGACACAUCCGGCAUGUCGGUCUCAGAUAUUCUGUUUGGAGAUCAAAGUGUGCUGGAGUUUGCUGGAGGUCCACUCCAGAUCCUGUUUGCCUGUGUGUAUCUCUGUGUCCAGAAUUGGUGGGUUCUUGGUCUCGCUGACUCCAAAAAUGAAGCUGUGGACCCUUGUGGUGAGUGUUACAGUUCUUAAAGAUGAUGUGUCUGGAGUUUGUUCCGAUGUUUGGACAUGUCCAGAGUUUCUUCCCUCUUGGUCUCGCUGA